AUGAACUGUGGGUAGCGGAGAAAUUCCAAUCGAACUUGGAGAUAGCUGGUUCUCUCCGAAAUAGCUUUAGGGCUAGCCUCAAGUGAUGAUUAUUGGAGGUAGAGCACUGUUUGGACGAGGGGCCCCUCUCGGGUUACCGAAUUCAGACAAACUCCGAAUGCCAAUUAAUUUAACUUGGGAGUCAGAACAUGGGUGAUAAGGUCCGUGUUCGAAAGGGAAACAGCCCAGACCACCAGCUAAGGUCCCAAAAUAUAUGUUAAGUGGAAAAGGAUGUGGCGUUGCCCAGACAACUAGGAUGUUGGCUUAGAAGCAGCCAUCAUUUAAAGAGUGCGUAAUAGCUCACUAGUCGAGUGACACUGCGCCGAAAAUGUACCGGGGCUAAACAUAUUACCGAAGCUGUGGAUUGUCCGUAGGACAAUGGUAGGAGAGCGUUCUAAGGGCGUUGAAGCAUGAUCGCAAGGACAUGUGGAGCGCUUAGAAGUGAGAAUGCCGGUGUGAGUAGCGAAAGACGGGUGAGAAUCCCGUCCACCGAUUGACUAAGGUUUCCAGAGGAAGGCUCGUCCGCUCUGGGUUAGUCGGGUCCUAAGCUGAGGCCGACAGGCGUAGGCGAUGGAUAACAGGUUGAUAUUCCUGUACCACCUAACAUCGUUUUAAUCGAUGGGGGGACGCAGUAGGAUAGGCGAAGCGUACGAUUGGAUUGUACGUCUAAGCAGUGAGAUUGAGUGUUAGGCAAAUCCGGCACUCUUAAGAUUGAGCUGUGAUGGGGAGAGGAAAUUGUUUCCUCGAGUCGUUGAUUUCACACUGCCGAGAAAAGCCUCUAGAUAGAUAAUAGGUGCCCGUACCGCAAACCGACACAGGUAGUCAAGAUGAGAAUUCUAAGGUGAGCGAGCGAACUCUCGUUAAGGAACUCGGCAAAAUGACCCCGUAACUUCGGGAGAAGGGGUGCUCUUUAGGGUGCAAGCCCAGAAGAGCCGCAGUGAAUAGGCCCAAGCGACUGUUUAUCAAAAACACAGGUCUCUGCUAAACCGUAAGGUGAUGUAUAGGGGCUGACGCCUGCCCGGUGCUGGAAGGUUAAGAGGAGUGGUUAGCUUCUGCGAAGCUACGAAUCGAAGCCCCAGUAAACGGCGGCCGUAACUAUAACGGUCCUAAGGUAGCGAAAUUCCUUGUCGGGUAAGUUCCGACCCGCACGAAAGGCGUAACGAUUUGGGCACUGUCUCAACGAGAGACUCGGUGAAAUCAUAGUACCUGUGAAGAUGCAGGUUACCCGCGACAGGACGGAAAGACCCCGUGGAGCUUUACUGUAGCCUGAUAUUGAAAUUCGGCACAGCUUGUACAGGAUAGGUAGGAGCCUUUGAAACGUGAGCGCUAGCUUACGUGGAGGCGCUGGUGGGAUACUACCCUAGCUGUGUUGGCUUUCUAACCCGCACCACUUAUCGUGGUGGGAGACAGUGUCAGGCGGGCAGUUUGACUGGGGCGGUCGCCUCCUAAAAGGUAACGGAGGCGCUCAAAGGUUCCCUCAGAAUGGUUGGAAAUCAUUCAUAGAGUGUAAAGGCAUAAGGGAGCUUGACUGCGAGACCUACAAGUCGAGCAGGGUCGAAAGACGGACUUAGUGAUCCGGUGGUUCCGCAUGGAAGGGCCAUCGCUCAACGGAUAAAAGCUACCCCGGGGAUAACAGGCUUAUCUCCCCCAAGAGUUCACAUCGACGGGGAGGUUUGGCACCUCGAUGUCGGCUCAUCGCAUCCUGGGGCUGUAGUCGGUCCCAAGGGUUGGGCUGUUCGCCCAUUAAAGCGGUACGCGAGCUGGGUUCAGAACGUCGUG
rnacentral:rRNA from 1 species